rnacentral:rRNA from 1 species
CCUACGGGUGGCAGCAGUGAGGAAUAUUGGUCAAUGGACGCGAGCCUGAACCAGCCAAGUAGCGUGAAGGAUGACUGCCCUCGGGGUUGUAAACUUCUUUUAUAAGGGAAUAAAUGGUGCCACGUGUGGCAUUUUGUAUGUACUUUAUGAAUAAGGAUCGGCUAACUCCGUGCCAGCAGCCGCGGUAAUACGGAGGAUCCGAGCGUUAUCCGGAUUUAUUGGGUUUAAAGGGAGCGUAGGUGGGCUGGUAAGUCAGUUGUGAAAGUUUGCGGCUCAACCGUAAAAUUGCAGUUGAUACUGGCAGGCUUGAGUACAGUAGAGGUAGGCGGAAUUCGUGGUGUAGCGGUGAAAUGCUUAGAUAUCACGAAGAACACCGAUGGCGAAGGCAGCCCACUGGACUGCAACUGACACUGAGGCUCGAAAGUGUGGGUAGCAAACAGGAUUAGAUACCCGUGUAGUC